rnacentral:lncRNA from 1 species
AUGUCCCAAUCCCAAAAAAAACCACACGGGAAGCACCGCGGGGAUCAUGGAAACCAAAGGAAAGGCCAAGGCAGUUUUAUUUACAUCCGUUGUGUACAAAAAAAAGGACAGCUCGUGCCACAAUCCGUCCCCAAUCCCAUUUUUCCCCUUCCCGGGAUUCUCCCCGGGGCUCCGGGGUCAGGGUGGGCAUCUCCUGGCACCGGGAAAGAGCCGCGAUUCCCUCCGGACCCGGAUGGGAGCUGGGAAUGUCUUAUCCUGACACGGCGGAGACCAAACCCUUCGUUCGCAUCCGGGUUGGAAUUCUGGGGUGCCGCAGCACCGGGAAAUGGGAAUGCAGGGAAUUCCCACCCUCCCUGGAAAAUCCAAUCUUCCUUCUCCCCGCCCAUUCCUGGAGGCAAAGAUCCCCCCAGGAAUGGCAUGGCAGUUCCCAAAAAAAAAAAAGCAUCUCCUGGAAAUAUUUUGGGGUUUUCCACCCUCCCUGGUGUCACCAGGAGGUGCCACCGCUGUCCCCAAGGGGUUCCCAUGGAUAUUUUUCCCUGCUCUCCACAGGGCUCCAUCCCACCUCCACCUUUUUCCCGAAUUUUCCCUCAUUCCCUUCCAUCGUGGUCUCCACAGCCCCGCCCUGGCUUCUCCCGCUGCUCCAUCUCCGGGAGCCGAUGGUUUUCCAGCUGGAAAAGGGGGAUUUCAUCCAAGAAUUCCCACCGGGAUUGUUUUUUGGGAGGUUCUUACAAAAAGCUUCUUUGGGAAUUCACGGGGCUUUCCAAUGUCACCCUUGGGAAGGAUCAUGGGCAUCCCCAGCAGCUGGAAAAAAACCUUUGGAGCAAGGGAAUUUCACUCCCUGACCACCUCCAACGGUGGUGGUGGGGAAAAAAAACUUCUCCCCCUUCCCAAAACGGUGCUGGAAGGGCAAAAAAAAGCCCCGCCAGGUCUGGGAAGAGAUCCCAAAUCCAGGCGGGAACAAGGGAGCGAGGGACACCAAGAGAUGCCGCAGCCCACGGAUGGGAUGGGAUGGGAUGGGAUGGAGAAGACUCCGGAGGGAUUCCCGCCCGCCCCCGCCUGCCCAGCACCAAAUUAAAGUCACACGCGACGCACAUUUCCCACGGUUCCCUCCCCACCCGCUCCGCAUUCCCGGGAUUUCUCCCGGGAUUCACCUCCUCAGCCCUCGGCCGUCCCCUCCGGACCUGGCUGACGGGCGGGACCCACCCGGGUGGGGCAUCCCAAAUCCCGCCCGGAUCCCUUCCCUCCCCACCCUCCCCGGAACGACGACGACGACGACGACUCCGAUGGCUUCACCCCUUCAACUCGUCACAUCCACGAACAAAGAAAGCAGAGGAACGUCCACCAUUCCCACACCAUUCCGACCUGGAGCUGCGGAAGCCUCCGGCACCUCCCCGGAGCUGUCAGUCCGAGCAGAGCCUCUUUACCUGGAGGCUUCUUCCUUGA